rnacentral:rRNA from 1 species
AGUCUCGUGGUGACAGCGGAGGGAUCAUUAAAGAGUUGAAAGACUCCCAAAACCACUGUGGACUUUACCUUUUAUCGUUGCUUCGGCGGUGAACGGGUUUAGGGUGCCCUUUACUUUUUCGGUGGGGGGACCCGACCAGCGAGCCGCCGGAGGUUACCUAAACUUUGUAUUUAUGUAGUGUAUCUCUGAGCAUUAAAAAACAAGUCAAAACUUUCAACAACGGAUCUCUUGGUUCUGGCAUCGAUGAAGAACGCAGCGAAAUGCGAUAAGUAAUGUGAAUUGCAGAAUUCAGUGAAUCAUCGAAUCUUUGAACGCACAUUGCGCCCGCUGGUAUUCCGGCGGGCAUGCCUGUUCGAGCGUCAUUUCAACCCUCAAGCUCUCCGGAGUUUGGUGUUGGGGCGCCUGGGGCUUUUCGACCUCAGGGCCCUCAAGUCCAUCGGCGGGACCGCCAGGACACUGAGCGCAGUAGUAUUAUUUCGCUCGGUAGGAUCUUCCACGGCGGGUCGAUCUGGCCGCUAAACCCCCCAAUUCUCACCAAAGGUUGACCUCGGAUCAGGUAGGAAUACCCGCUGAACUUAAGCAUAUCAAUAAGCGGAGGA